rnacentral:rRNA from 1 species
AUUGAACGCUGGCGGCAGGCCUAACACAUGCAAGUCGAACGAGUGGCGGACGGGUGAGUAAUGUCUGGGAAACUGCCUGAUGGAGGGGGAUAACUACUGGAAACGGUAGCUAAUACCGCAUACCAUCAGAUGUGCCCAGAUGGGAUUCGCUUGUUGGUGGGGUAACGGCUCACAAAGGCGACGCUCCCUAGCUGGUCUGAGAGGAGGACCAGCGACAGUGGAAAUGAGACACGGUCCAGACUCCUAAGGGAGGCAGCAGGGGGGAAUAUUGCACAAUGGGCGCAAGCCUGAUGGAGCCAUGCCGCGGGUAUGAAGAAGGCCUUCGGAUUGUAAAGUACUUUCAGCGGGGAGGCGUUACCCGCAGAAGAAGCACCGGCUAACUCCGUGCCAGCCGGCGCGGUAAUUC